GUCCUUACCAAACGGACACAUGCCCGACCCCUACCCCAGGCACAGCCAACUGGACCAGCCGUGGAUUCCUGGCUCAGUCCAGGCCAGUCACGUUCUCUGUCCUGGAGACAAGUUAGCUGCAGGCACUGCACUUCAAGCUGUGUUUGAGAGGAGGAGGCCUGUGGGGGCCCCAUCUGGAGCAGGGGAGCAGGCAUGGAUGGAAAUGAAGCAGGGAGGCCCUCUCAGAGAGGAAAGAAGAAGGCUGCAGACAAGUAGAAAAGCAGGCCACGGAUCAUGUUCCAGUAGUCGCUGCCCCUUCAUGCCGGGUCCCAGGGUGAGGACGGUGCAGAGCACAGCCCCGGCCAGCCUGGGCAGGAAACCUCUCAAGCCACCGAGACAUGCUGGUUGAUUGUUCCUGCGGCACAAUCUCGGUGGUUUCUAACUGAUACAAGCCGGGGCCCUUCUCCCCAUCCUCUUCCGGGCAACCCUUCUGAUGACCUUUCAGUGCUGGGUGAUUUCUCCUGCAACACAUCCCUCCGGAGGACUGCUCCGCUCCCCCAUUCUCAGGCCUUUGCUAGUUGGCGUCCCUCAUUCCAGAAUGUUCUGUCGUGGAGCAGUCUGCAUCUUGGGCAUCUCAGUGGUGCACACGGCGGAACCAAGCCCUUUGUUUCCAUCAUGGCCUGGCUCUCUUCUCUUUCCCCUCUAUUUUUCUGAUCUUUGCCUUCUCUCUUCUGCUCACGGGUCAUCAGCCUUGGCAGCUUCUGGCCCUACACGUAUGAAACAGCCUGUUCAUCAAACAAUCCUCGACCUGCACCAGGGUUAGCACCCCUCACCCCUCACCCUACCUGCUCCCCAGAGGAGAAAGAACAACAGACGAAAAUAACCACGAUGUUGACAGAAUGGAACUUGAUAGUGUACAAUUGUAAAACAACUUCCAUUUUUUUCUCCCUCUCAGGACUAUCUGACAAAUCCAGUCUAUCAACCCUGUCUCCCCACCCACAGAUGGUAUCUCAGGCAGGUCUCUCCAUUUCUUGUCACUUUCAGGAAAUUAAAACCCCUUUGGUCACUGCUA